CAGCAGCCGCGGUAAUACGAAGGGGGCUAGCGCUGUUCGGAAUUACUGGGCGUAAAGGGCGCGUAGACGGCCAUUCAAGUUAGAUGUGAAAGCCCUGGGCUCAACCUAGGAAUUGCAUUUGAUACUGUUUGGCUUGAGUUCGGGAGAGGUGAGUGGAAUUCCCAGUGUAGAGGUGAAAUUCGUAGAUAUUGGGAAGAACACCAGUGGCGAAGGCGGCUCACUGGACCGACACUGACGCUGAGGCGCGAAAGCGUGGGGAGCAAACAGGAUUAGAUACCCCAGUAGUCCCUGUCUCUUAUAC
rnacentral:rRNA from 1 species